ensembl:lncRNA
UAACACCUUUCCUGCAGGGUUGUUGCCCUGAAGGUGAAACGUGGCAGUUAAAAAGGGGGGGGUGGGGCAAAAUUCCGCUCGCAGUCACUGCGAGUAACUCCUCCCAGAUGGAUGCUGUGCGGACGGCAAUUGUAAACUCUGGACAAAAGAGUCUUUCAAGCAGCAGAAGUUUAACAUUUUGAUGAAGUUCAAUAUGUCAAACUUUUCUCUUGUGGAUCAUGCAUUUUCUGUCUUAUCUAAGAAAUUUUUGCUUCACUCAAGAAUAAUUAUGUGGAGUACCAUCCAGGUCAAUCUCCAAUUACAACCCCAUUCUUCUCUCCAAGAGCACUGACCAUCUCGAUUUUGCAGUAAUGAUUCUCUUGCUCUCAUUUAAAGACUUACUAUUGUGCUGUAUCUGGACAUAUGGGAUGCUUCCAACAGCAUUACAAACAACGCUCCUCUGAACAAUCUUGACUGUAUCUCCUGCUGCAGGUCUUCAGCUUUAAUAAUGUCACACUGUUUUCCACGGUGCUUGCGCCCCUUCGUAUUCCCACCAGCAGUAAACGAGUGCCGAUAGCUCUACAUUUCAACCAACACGUGGAAUUACAAUGCGUUUUAAUUUCUGUUGCCAAUUUUGUGCAUGUAUGAUAGAGAUCUACUUUCCAUCGUGUGGGAUCCUGGAUUUUGUUUCAUGUCCAUGUUCAAUUGUAAAAAUUACACUAUAUGUUUUUAAAAAGCAAAUUUGUCUUUACAAGACCAUUUUAAAAUCUUUGCAUACAAAUAUGUUAGGUGCUUACAGAUUUUUUUCUUCUGAAAAAUUUCCUUAUAAAAAUAGAAUGUGCUAUUCAUCAGCAUGUCCUAUUUUUGGGGCAAAUAUGGAUGGAUGGCAGAGCUAGAAUUUUAACCUGUGUGUCUCUCUUACUCCAGGCUCUUUCUCUUGUCUUUAGGAGAGCAUGGUGGCAGGCAGCUGGUCUUUUCUUGUUUUAUUUUGAUAUAAUUUUAAGCAACUUGCUCUAGUGGGAGCUCCUGAUGGCUGCCCCCUAGUGGACUCCAGCGAGACUGCGCUCACCGGAUUGUAAGACGCUCCCCCUGCCUCACUCUGCUCAUUCCCGCUGAAGGGCAAGGCCUCUGCUCUGUGUUAGCACACUGCUUCCAGCAGAGUGUAAACAAAUCGAUAAUCCCGUGUGGCCACGGGGUAAAGAAGUGACAUUCUUACCCCUGCAGAAGGAGUACACUCUUGGGGACCGAGAUCAAGUUUAGGUUGCUGGAAGGAUAACUUGUAAACUUGGAUUUACUGAUGGCCAUUGGGGAGACCCAGCUUGGAACGGAGUUUGUCCAGUGGAGUUCCCCUAGAAGCAGAUCCUGCGACAAGGAUAUUAGCCCUGAGCUAACUACUGCCAAUCCUCCUCUCCCUGCUGAGGAAGACCGGCCCCAAGCCAACAUCCUCCGUGCCCAUCUUCCUCCACUCCAUACAUGGGAUGCCCACCACAGCAUGACACCAAGCGGUGCCAUGUCUGCACCCGGGAUCCAAACUGGUGAACCCCAGGCCGCCGAGAAGCGGAACGUGAGAAUGCAACCGCUGCGCCACUGGGCCGGCCCCUCACUUCUCUUGAAUCGAUGGAACCUGAGUUCGAGCCCUGGUCAACUCUGCCAUUUCCUGUCCAGACUGAUCCCUGGGACCAAGUAUUGGAGAAAAAGGCAAGUCUGCAGUUUACUAAAGCUGUGGACAUCACUUAACAGUUCCGAGGCAGCAGUUCUGAUCAGCAGGAUGGCUCUAAUCUGCAUGAUUUUCCUGGGACCCAAGUUCCUUCCAUCAUGAUGCUUUGCCAUGUUAGGCCACUAACCCUGUAUGCACAGUCAAGGAUUCCAGCCAGUGAGAAAGGGAAAGGACACAGAGGAGCCACGCCCAGGCUCAAGGUCUGGGCACAGAUCACUUCCACUUGAGUCCAUUGGCAAGAACUGAAAUGUCAUAACACCUAACCGCAAGGGAGGCAGGGGACGUGUAGCUCAGCCACGCACCCGGAAAGAAGGAGAGAACGGGUCUGCAGGAGAGCUCAUGGCGUCCAGGGACCCUCCAAGCAAGAGGCAAACCCACCUGGGCAUCUGUCUGCGCACAGUGAGCUGCCAACUAAAUAUGCCUGGGCUAGACUGUUGGAUGAUGAGAGACGCAUGGACCCACCAUCUCCCCAGAUGCCAGCCAGCCAGCUCCCAAAGUAGAGCCCCCUGCUGCCUUGGCAGCUGACUGUGGACGCAUGAGCAAGCCCAGCCAGGACCAGCAGAAUUGCUCAGCUGAUCCCAGUCUAAAUUGCUACCUUAUGGAUUGUGAGCUACAAAUAAACGGUGGUUGUUUUAAGCCGUUAAGUUUUGGGGUAGUUUGUUUCACAACAAAAGCGGAGCGUUACGGGAAGUAACCCAGAGAUUAGCAACAGCAGGGAGUCACUGCUAUGUUAGGCUGUAGAGACAAAGGGAGGAGGCAAUAUAGCCAGGGCCCAGAGCUCCCAAAAGAUGAGGAACGAGGCGUAGACAUAUCCCAUGGAGGCUCAGAGGAACAGAGUAGCUGGAGGAGAGGCAGCUGACUGCAGCAGACAGGGGGAAGAAAUACCCUGGCUUUUCGCUUUAUCUGCCCUCCAGUCUCCCACCAGGGCCUGCCAUCAGCUGAGCUCAGCUGGCAGCCAGUUGGGACGAGAGCCUGGAGAUGCAGACUUCAGGAGUCAGCCUUUCUGCAACAGAGAGCAGAGCCGGGGAAGGGCUGGGAAUGGAUCUGAGGGCAAACAGGCCCAGGACUGACACUACACAUCCUUUAGGGGAAAGAAAAGGAAGUGAGUUCACUGAUUGAACUUUCAAAACAGCGCAAUUGCAUUCUCUUCUUUGUGUUUUAUUCCCUGCUCAGGAAUUUAGCUCAAAAUAAAAAUGAAUUCUAGCAACUGGAGAACUGUGAUUGCAAGUGUCUCAACUUUUUACAAAAUAUUCAACCAAGCUGAAUUAGCCUAUUUAUAAAAUGUUGCACCCACAAUGCCCCAUCAAAACGCAAAUCAUCAAAACAGCCUGAAUGACGCUGGAGUUAGGUCAAAAAACACAGAAGUUUUAAAACACCAAUUUGGUUAAUUUUAAUUCAUUCAGCAACCAUUAAAAACUUUUUGUAUGCCGAUCAAGUACAAUGAAGGGUGAUGCCACAGAUUUGCACACACAUCUACACACAGAUAAUUGGAAUAUAGUACAGAUGUUGUCAUUGAGGUAUGAAGGUGGGGGUCAUUUAAGCUGGGUUUUGAAGAAUAAGUUAGAGUUCACCAGAUGGAAAAGAGAAAGAACAGUUUUUCAGGAGGAGUGUGCAAAGGUUCAGAGACAAGAUGUCAUAUUUAAGAAACUAUAAGUACUGUAGCUUGGUGUGGCUGGAACACUGAGUGUGGGAGGAAUAUGGAGAGAGAUGAGGCCAUAGAUGUGGCAGGGGCUAGACCAUAGAGGCCUUAAAUGUUGUGCUGAGGAGUUUGCCCUUUAUAGGCAAUUGGGAGACAUCAGUAUUUUUAUUUUAGUAGAUUUUUGAGAAUUAAAAAUAAUACAUGGGCACAUGUACGGUGACGGAUGGUAAUUAGUCUUUGGGUGGUAAGCAUGAUGUAAUCUACACAGAAAUCGAAAUAUAACGACGUACACCUGAAACUUAUGCAGUAUUAUAAGCCAAUGUUACCUCAAUUAAAAAAAAAUACAUGUUUAUUUUAAGGAGCUGAAAGAUGACAUAAAAGGUGAAAAGAGGUCAUGAUCUCUGCCCUCUUUUAUCCUUGAGGUAGCCAGGGCUAGUAAUCAGGACACAGCUUUCUCUUCUCCAGGGUUGGUUGGUUUUCUUAUUUGCUGUGGCUUGGAGUGCAAAAAAUACACUUAUUACUCUGCAACUUGCUUUUUUCCCUUAACAACAUGUGGACAUCACUCCAGAUGAGUUAGAUUUAACUCAAAUAUUUCUUCAGCCAUUCUCUUACUGGUGGGCAUUCAACUUGUCUGUUUUUAGCAGUUACAAUAAUAUUGUGGUAUGCCUCCUUGACGAUGAGUCUGGGGAUAUUGGGCUCUCGUUUCAGUAAAAUAGAUUCUGGGUCAAUGGAUGUUUGCAUUUUUUAUUUUAAUGGAUGUGUCUCAAUUACUUUUUUAAUAGGUUGCAGCUAUUCCUAUUUCUCAACACUGUCAAACAGAACUGGACAUUAACACUUUUUCACUUCUAAAUUUAGGCAAAUGUAAUGAAUGAAAGAAAGGCUGUAUUGGUUUAAUUUGCAUUUCCUUGACUUCUACUGACACUGAGCAUCUGAUCAUGCUUAUUGACAAUUUGCAUGUUCCCUUAUGUGAAUUGCCAGCUCAUUUUUCUAUUCAGUUGUCUUUUUCUUAUCAACUGGUAAAAGUUCUUUGAAUAUUAGUAAUUGUUAAUUUUUAUCCAUGUGUUUUGCAAAGGUUCUCAUUCCACCUCAGAUUAUCAGUUGCCUUUUUUUUUUUAAAAGUCUUUUUAUUUGGAAAUGAUUAGAAACUAACAGGGUGUUGUGAAAAUGCUAGAGUCCCAUGUACCUUCAGCCAGCUUCUCCCAAAGGUAGCAUCUUACAUAACUAUAGUGCAAUAUCAAAAC